AUGAUACUCCCUCCGUCCCAAAAUUCUUAUCUUAGAUUUGUUUAAAUACGAAUGUAUUAAAUCAUGUUUUAGUAUUAGAUAUAUCCAUGUAGACAAAUGUAAGACAAGAAUUUUGGGAUCGAGAGAGUACAUC
rfam:Triticum aestivum genome assembly, contig: Triticum_aestivum_CS42_TGACv1_scaffold_594758_7BS